CCCCGCGCCAGCGGGGAUAAACCGGAGUAACCACGGUGGCAAAAAUAUCAGGGGUGGUGUUCCCCGCGCCAGCGGGGAUAAACCGCCACAUCCAGCAUU
rnacentral:rRNA from 1 species